rnacentral:rRNA from 1 species
AACGAACGCUGGCGGCAUGCCUAACACAUGCGAGUCGAACGAAGCCUUCGGGCUUAGUGGCGCACGGGUGCGUAACGCGUGGGGAUCUGCCCUUGGGUUCGGAAUAACAGUUAGAAAUGACUGCUAAUACCGGAUGAUGUCUUCGGACCAAAGAUUUAUCGCCCAAGGAUGAGCCCGCGUAGGAUUAGGUAGUUGGUGGGGUAGUGGCCCACCAAGCCGACGAUCCUUAGCUGGUCCGAGAGGAUGAUCAGCCACACUGGGACUGAGACACGGCCCAGACUCCUACGGGAGGCAGCAGUGGGGAAUAUUGGACAAUGGGCGAAAGCCUGAUCCAGCAAUGCCGCGUGAGUGAUGAAGGCCUUAGGGUUGUAAAGCUCUUUUACCAGGGAUGAUAAUGACAGUACCCGGAGAAUAAGCUCCGGCUAACUCCGUGCCAGCCGCCGCCGUAAAAC